rnacentral:lncRNA from 1 species
GGGGUCCCAGGCUGCAUCACAGAGACAUUCCAACAGCUGGCCUCCCUGGUAAUGCCGUGACUUGAGGCCCCAUUUCCUUAAACCCUUCCCUGGGAAAUAGUGACUUCUGUGUAGUCACCAAGAGAAUCUCCAGGGAAUGUAUUAUGAGGCGUCCUUAAAAAGAGGCCUAGGGGCUUCGUAAGAAAUGGACUGUAGGUCUAGAACAAGUAUUGAUAUCGAACCUCUUCAUCUCAAGUUCAUGUGCCCAAUGCACAGUAGGCUAGUCACUGAGACACCAGUGCUUGGAGAUGGAGAAGCUUUUAUUUGAAUUGGCCAAAAUGGAAGCACCUUGUUCUCUCAAAUGCAAGUUACCAAAGGAAGACAGCAGAACCAGCAAGACCAUAAAGCUGAUCCGAGGAGAAUUCUCAGAACAGAAGUUUAUAUAGAAGCAGGACGCAUGCUGAGAAAAGUCAGCUUGGUUAGAGAAAUCUGCUCAUCUCUGCAGCUUCAAAGCAGCACGCAGGAAUCAGAGAUGCUUACAUCAGCAGGAGACCUGGGAGAUGUUCUAUGGCAUCUCUGCCAUCGUACAGACUUCUCCAUCAAGGGCUUGAGCUGCAAAUAUGAAUAAAAAAAGUUCCCUGCUGUCAAGGUGAUCCUGGAUCAUCACAAGAGAGACAGCCGAUCUAAGUGAAGAGAGAAUGUAGCUCUGAUGGAGACAUAAGAUGUUGGGUUGAUACACAGUGAUGCCUUAUGGAACCCAAGGGCUGUCAAGCUUCGGGAGGUCCACCAUCUGUGGGGAAAGAUGUUCCAACUUCCUACACUAGCCUUGACAGAAGAACUUGAAAGAAGAACUGAGCCUGUGGGAACUCCUGCCCCUUUCUGAUAGGUGGAUGGAGAAGGGGAACCCCAUACUUGCUUGCGUGCUACCACAGAGGCACCCAGAGAUGAAUAAUCAUGGGAACCACACUUCCCUUCAUCAGGAUUAGCCUAGGGUUGGAUGUGUGACUCAAUUCCAGCUAAGAAGACAGAGAAGUCUGUUGGGGACCUGGUGAAUGUUUUUUCCCUUUAAGAAAAAAUCUGGAGCCUUCUGUUUUCCAUCUUGGAACAUAACUGUGAAGAUGUAGAGCUUGGAAUUGUAGCAGCCAUGUAGUGACUACAAGGUGACAAGCCUGAGGAGAGAAGCUGAAAGGCCGUUAGGGAGAAGCUAUGUUCUUGACGAUAUCGUUGAGCCUCGGUCAGAACCAGUCCUGGAAUGGCCAACCUCCAGACUUCUUGUUACUGCAGAUAAAUAAAGGUCUACAAGGCUUAAGCCGCUAUUGCUUAGGAAUUCUGUUUCUUGCAGCCAAAUACAUCC